AACUGUUGGAGUUGUUGCUGCUCUCCUGGUUAUAAUACCACUCACUGUCUUCUUCUGGAUUAGGAGAAAGAGGUCCUCCAGCCGUUCUCCUAGACUUGAAACAUCAGACAAUAUGGAGCAGCUAAACCCUGGUCCUGUGUAUGAAGACAUCUCAGCUCAGGCAACAGAGCAGGAUGACCUUUACUAUAGCAGAAUCAACUUCUCUAAGAACCAGACAGAACAGACGCAUGUCCUCUA